UCCCCCCCCCAACCCCCUCGUUGCCAGGGAAACGGGAGGGAGCGGAGCGCCGGCUGCCGCCCCGGCCUCCCUUGGGGCUGAGCUCCCUGACCCGGCCCCACCGCGAACCCCCACCCGGCGGCGGGCGCUCCGGCCCCGCAGCCGGCGCAGAAAUACCCAGUCCCGACUCGGCUCUUUUUAAUUGCCAUUAGUUUUAUUCGCUAUUUUAUUUUCUGAGACUAAGCGCUGCUGAGUGCGCCGGAACAAGACAGUGCCCGUUACAGACCUGCAGGGACAGCCCUGUACAGCCCCACACAGCGAGUUACGUAUCUCUACAACAGAAUCCGCGGUUAUAGGCUGUUCCGGUGACAGCCACCAGGGUAGGAGGCAACAGCCUGCCUGCUAAAACUGUGACCCGCUGCGGGGUGGAGGUAAUUCUGGUGGAGCAGACGGCAGGGCAUACAGACAGGACGAAAGCAUUCCACCCUCAUGACAGGCCAGAUCUUACAGAUAACACACCAACAGAAGGCACCCACCGGCCACAAGAAGAUCACCGAUCACAGCAAGCCCACCACGUGUUGCCAGAUGCCACCCACCAUUCCAUUUUGACUGUGCAGCCCACCUGCCUGCAGAGCCUGGCAAUUUUUGUGAGGAACCAUUCAUGCCUGGGAGGAGAAGGGAGAGAUGACAGCAUCUCACUGAUGCCUACUGGGGGUCUGCAACUUACUUAACACAUGGCUGGAAAACGACACACAGCCAAGUUAGGAAAUUAGCCAACAGAGCUAAAAGGGAAAGAAGAAUUCACGAUUUCUGACCUAGAAACUGAGCCACGCAGCCUCCCUCUGUCCUGCUUUUCCAUGGCUGGCACGGGAACUACAGAUAGAUGGAGGAAGCAGACAACAGCCAGGUUUCUCAACUGUGCAGCUAGACCUGCAAGGAGUUUGUGUAAGACUCAGAUUUUAGCAAACAAGAGCUGAUCCAAAUGAUGCCAAAAAAUCCCUACUCAUACCUUCAAACUCUUUGAAAAGCUGCAGCUCUUGUAGGUUUUAUCAUGCACAUUACGAUCAAACAUUUUCAAAAGCAGUCAUGGAUUUUGAGUGGUUCUGCUUCAAAAUGAGCAUCCGUUCUUCCAAAUUAAAGAUACUUGACAGAUCCGUAAAAACGGCCCAAGGCUGAGUAGCACUGGACAUCAGAUUCUGAAGCAUCCAAAAAUCAAAAGAUAACGUUAGCCUGCAUGUAUAGAUAAACCACAGUUUAUACAAAUGAUAAAAGACUUUUGAGAACUUGAUGAGGAAACACAUUCACUUUCCAGAGUUACUAACAAUACAUGAAUUUUAACAAACUUCUCUGUGGCAGUAAAUGUAUGAAAUGCCACUAAGAUAUUUACUUUCCGCUGUAAACAAUUACAGCAGAAACAUUUCUGUACACUGUUAUUCAGCUGGUUUAUUGAACGCAUUCUUUUCUCCUUGCAUUUUUGUUUCUAACUCAGCGUGGUGUGAACAGAGAUACGUUUCAUGCUGGAACACACGAAUUAAAAUGUCAUCGAUUCCA